GAUGAACGCUGGCGGCGUGCCUAAUACAUGCAAGUCGAGCGAACAGACGAGGAGCUUGCUCCUCUGACGUUAGCGGCGGACGGGUGAGUAACACGUGGAUAACCUACCUAUAAGUCUGGGAUAACUUCGGGAAACCGGAGCUAAUACCGGAUAAUAUAUUGAACCGCAUGGUUCAAUAGUGAAAGACGGUUUUGCUGUCACUUAUAGAUGGAUCCGCGCCGCAUUAGCUAGUUGGUAAGGUAACGGCCUACCAAGGCAACGAUGCGUAGCCGACCUGAGAGGGUGAUCGGCCGCACUGGAACUGAGACACGGUCCAGACCCCUACGGGAGGCAGCAGUAGGGAAUCGUCCGCAAUGGGCGAAAGCCUGACGGAGCAACGCGGCGUGAGUGAUGAAGGUCUUCGGAUCGUAAAACUCUGUUAUUAGGGAAGAACAAAUGUGUAAGUAACUAUGCACGUCUUGACGGUACCUAAUAAGAAAGCCACGGCUAACUACGUG
rnacentral:rRNA from 1 species